rnacentral:rRNA from 1 species
GACGAACGCUGGCGGCGUGCUUAACACAUGCAAGUCGAACGGAAAGGCCCUGCUUUUGUGGGGUGCUCGGGUGGCGAACGGGUGAGUAACACGUGAGUAACCUGCCCUUGACUUUGGGAUAACUUCAGGAAACUGGGGCUAAUACCGGAUAGGAGCUCCUGCUGCAUGGUGGGGGUUGGAAAGUUUCGGCGGUUGGGGAUGGACUCGCGGCUUAUCAGCUUGUUGGUGGGGUAGUGGCUUACCAAGGCUUUGACGGGUAGCCGGCCUGAGAGGGUGACCGGCCACAUUGGGACUGGGAAACGGCCCAGGCUCAUUCGGGGGGCAGCGGUGGGGAAUAUUGCACAAUGGGCGGAGGCCGGAUGGAGGAACGCCGCGUGCGGGAGGACGGCCUUCGGGUUAGAAACGGAUUUCGCCUGUGACGAGGCGUGCGUGAGGGAAAUGGAUAAAGAGGCACGGGCAACUUAGGG